rnacentral:rRNA from 1 species
UGGGGAAUAUUGCACAAUGGGCGAAAGCCUGAUGCAGCAACGCCGCGUGCGGGAAGAAGGCCCUAGGGUUGUAAACCGCUUUCAGCAGGGAAGAAAAUGACGGUACCUGCAGAAGAAGGUGCGGCCAACUACGUGCCAGCAGCCGCGGUGACACGUGGGCACCAAGCGUUGUCCGGAUUUAUUGGGCGUAAAGAGCUCGUAGGCGGUUCAGUAAGUCGGGUGUGAAAACUCUGGGCUCAACCCGGGAACUGCGUCUGAUACUGGAGGGCUUGAAUCCGGGAGAGGGAUGCGGAAUUCCAGGUGUAGCGGUGAAAUGCGUAGAUAUCUGGAGGAACACCGGUGGCGAAGGCGGCAUCCUGGACCAAUUCUGACGCUGAGGAGCGAAAGCCAGGGGAGCAAACGGGAUUAGAUACCCUCGUAGUCCUGAGCGGGCUGGCAAGGCGCAU